rnacentral:rRNA from 1 species
UACAGGGGGUGCAAACGUUGCUCGGAAUUAUUGGGCGUAAAGCGCACGCAGGCGGCCCGGCGCGUGGGGUGUGAAAGCUGGCGGCUUAACUGCCAGACGCCAUCCCAUACGGCUGGGCUCGAGCCCUGCAGAGGUCCAUGGAAUUGCCGGUGUAGUGGUGAAAUGCGUAGAGAUCGGCAGGAACACCCAGGGGGAAACCAGUGGACUGGGCAGGAGCUGACGCUCAGGUGCGAAAGCGUGGGGAGCGAACCGG